rnacentral:rRNA from 1 species
GAUCCAGCAAUGCCGCGUGCAGGAUGAAGGCCCUCGGGUUGUAAACUGCUUUUGUACGGAACGAAAAGCCUGGGGCUAAUAUCCCCGGGUCAUGACGGUACCGUAAGAAUAAGCACCGGCUAACUACGUGCCAGCAGCCGCGGUAAUACGUAGGGUGCAAGCUUUAAUCGGAAUUACUGGGCGUAAAGCGUGCGCAGGCGGUUUUGUAAUACAGUGGUGAAAUCCCCGGGCUCAACCUGGGAACUGCCAUUGUGACUCCAAGGCUAGAGUGCGGCAGAGGGGGAUGGAAUUCCGCGUGUAGCAGUGAAAUGCGUAGAUAUGCGGAGGAACACCGAUGGAGAAGGCAAUCCCCUGGGCCUCCACUGACGCUCAUGCAAGAAAGCGUGGGGAGCAAACAGGAUUAGAUCCCCUGGUAGUCCCCGCCCUAAACGAUGUCAACUGGUUGUUGGGUCUUAACUGACUCAGUAACGAAGCUAACGCGUGAAGUUGACCGC